rnacentral:rRNA from 1 species
UACCAGCUCUUCGAGUGGUGUGGAUGUUUAUUGGGCCUAAAGCAUCCGUAGCUGGCUGGGCAAGUCCCCUGUUAAAUCCACCGAUUUAAUCGUUGGAGUGCGGGGGAUACUGUUCGGCUAGGGGACGGGAGAGGCAGACGGUAUUUUCGGGGUAGGGGUGAAAUCCUAUAAUCCCGGGAAGACCACCAGUGGCGAAGGCUGUCUGCUAGAACGCGCCCGACGGUGAGGGAUGAAAGCUGGGGGAGCGAACCGGAUUAGAUACCCGGGUAGUCCCAGCUGUAAACGAUGCAGGCUAGGUGUUUGGGCGGCCACGUGCCGCUCUAGUGCCGCAGGGAAGCCGUUAAGCCUGCCGCCUGGGGAGUACGGCCGCAAGGCUGAACUUAAAGGAAUUGGCGGGGAGCACCACAAGGGGUGAAGCUUGCGGUUU